rnacentral:rRNA from 1 species
AAGUAAAAGUCGUAACAAGGUCUCCGUUGGUGAACCAGCGGAGGGAUCAUUAUAGAGUUUUCUAAACUCCCAACCCAUGUGAACUUACCUUUUGUUGCCUCGGCAGAAGUUAUAGGUCUUCUUAUAGCUGCUGCCGGUGGACCAUUAAACUCUUGUUAUUUUAUGUAAUCUGAGCGUCUUAUUUUAAUAAGUCAAAACUUUCAACAACGGAUCUCUUGGUUCUGGCAUCGAUGAAGAACGCAGCGAAAUGCGAUAAGUAAUGUGAAUUGCAGAAUUCAGUGAAUCAUCGAAUCUUUGAACGCACAUUGCGCCCAUUAGUAUUCUAGUGGGCAUGCCUGUUCGAGCGUCAUUUCAACCCUUAAGCCUAGCUUAGUGUUGGGAAUCUACUUCUCUUAGGAGUUGUAGUUCCUGAAAUACAACGGCGGAUUUAUAGUAUCCUCUGAGCGUAGUAAUUUUUUUCUCGCUUUUGUUAGGUGCUAUAACUCCCAGCCGCUAAACCCCCAAUUUUUUGUGGUUGACCUCGGAUCAGGUAGGAAUACCCGCUGAACUUAAGCAUAUCAAUAAGCGGAGG